rnacentral:rRNA from 1 species
CCUACGGGUGGCAGCAGUGAGGAAUAUUGGUCAAUGGACGAGAGUCUGAACCAGCCAAGCAGCGUGAAGGAUGACUGCCCUAUGGGUUGUAAACUUCUUUUAUAAAGGAAUAAAACGAGGCACGUGUGCCUUUUUGCAUGUACUUUAUGAAUAAGGAACGGCUAACUCCAGGCCAGCAGCCGCGGUAAUACGGAGGAUCCGAGCGUUAUCCGGAUUUAUUGGGUUUAAAGGGAGCGUAGAUGGGUUGUUAAGUCAGUUGUGAAAGUUUGCGUCUCAACCGUAGAAUUGUAAUUGAUAAUGGCAGUCUUGAGUACAGUUGAGGUAGGCGGAAUUCGUGGUGUAGCGGUGAAAUGCUUAGAUAUCACGAAGAACCCCGAUUGCGAAGGCAGCUUACUGAACUGUGACUGACAUUGAUGCUCGAAAGUGUGGGGAUCAAACAGGAUUAGAUACCCGGGUAGUC